rnacentral:rRNA from 1 species
CCAAUAGCGUAUAUUAAAGUUGUUGCAGUUAAAAAGCUCGUAGUUGAAUUUCGAGAUCAAAUUGUUGGUCGUGCCUCGGUACGUACUGGCAUUAUUGAUUUCUCCCUUCUGAAGAACCUUGAUGUCAUUAAUUUGGUGUCUUGGGGAAUCAGGACCGUUACUUUGAAAAAAUUAGAGUGUUUAGAGCAGGCUCACGCUUGAAUACAUUAGCAUGGAAUAAUGAAAUAGGACGUUUGAUUCUAUUUUGUUGGUUUCUAGGAUCGACGUAAUGAUUAAUAGGGAUAGUUGGGGGCAUUAGUAUUCAAUUGUCAGAGGUGAAAUUCUUGGAUUUAUUGAAGACUAACUACUGCGAAAGCAUUUGCCAAGGAUGUUUUCAUUAAUCAAGAACGAAAGUUAGGGGAUCGAAGACGAUCAGAUACCGUCGUAGUCUUAACCAUAAACUAUGCCGACUAGGGAUCGGAUGAUGUUAAUUUUUUAAUGACUCAUUCGGCGCCUUACG